GCCCAAGCCUGCUCAGUGCGCGCGCGCAGCUUGAAUAAAGCCGAGUGACAAGAUGGCAUCUGACAGCUGGGUUCGCCCAUGUGCAGCACAGACUCUCCCCGAGAAGAUGGCACCCCCGUUCGGCAGCCCGCGCUCCACCGAUGGGGAACUUGGCCAUGAACAUCCCCUGCUGGCCUGGGAGGUGGUUCCCAGGAUCACCUGGCUGCUCUCAGCCCCACCCAUGGCUUCAGCUGGGUCUGGGCCGGUGCGGCCCCUGGGGCUGCCUGGCUGCUCCCAGCCUCUGUCAUGGCCCCAGCUGGCUCAGGAACUAGCUCCUUAGAGCGAUCCUCCUCUUUCAACUAAGCAAUCAGCUGUGCCUUAGUGAGCUUUCCAAUGUGCAGCCCUCUCUCUGCACAGCUCUACAAUGUCCUCCUUAAGGAGAUGGUGAUAGGCCAUCUCCACGCUGUUCCCACGUGGGUCACAGACUCACAGGCCCGUACUCUCUCAGUUCCCCACGAUCCCUGGGAGGAACCGCUUCAGUGCGACAGCCCUUCUCGGGGGUCCACUCUUGGGGUUAAGCCAUAGGCUCCUCUACCUCCUGGAACCGCACCUCUCUGAGCCUUCAGCACUCUUGGCUCUCGCUAAUCCCCCUUUGUUCUACUGCUCCUCCGUCACUCACUGCAGGAUGCUUUGUCCACGGGGUACAGUUUAUCCCAUUGCUACCACCAGUUGUCAGGGAGCCACAGGUCCGUUGCUCUGGAACUGUUCUGUAUGAAGCCAGCCAGGACUCUGGGGUGGCGUGACUCCCCUCAGGGCAUGCUGUCCAGGGCAGAAAGCCACCUUGGCUACGGCCUUCCUGGUCUGACCUUGGAGUAUUCAGCAUCCCUGUUCACACCGUACACUUCCCCAUGGGGCGUAUUCCUGGACAGGACCUCUGGGGAGGCCAUAGGGCCCUGCAUCCCAACUCCGCAGUCAGCCAUGACUCUCAGCCAGUGUUGUAAAACAAGGUUUAUUAGUCAAUAGGAACAUGGAGUAGAACAGAUAUUGUUAGCACAGAAAUCAGUGACUUUCAGCAAAGUCCAUCUUGGGGGACCCCGGAGCCAGAUGCCCUAGGCUCCCCCUCUUCCAGUCCCACACAGCAGACUGCCCUGGAUCCCGCUGCCUGGCCUCCCUCACAUCCCUUGCUCCUCCUCCGGUCUUUGUUUUGCUUCCCAGGCAAAGUGUCACUUGCUCGCAUCCUCCUCCUGGGUCUCAGGUUAUGAAGGGCAUCAGCCAUCACCUAUAUGCAGGCAGCUGAGGGCCUCGGCAGAAGUCACACACCCAAUUCCCACCACCUUUACCCAGUUCCUAGGGCAAAGGCUUAACACUUGGCGGGUUUGCAGGACCUUUUACCAGUGAAAGAGCCUCCCACUGUAAUAUCCUUGUCCUCUGUUUAUUGACCAUUACCAAGCAGAAUACACAUGCUAAACAUACAGUGCUCUGCUCACCAGUCCUGAUCAGGCAGGCGGCCUUUCCCAGCCGGCCAGGCCAGGCAAGGUCAGUCCCAGCUGGUUGCUGGAGGUCACAGUCGUGCAGAGGAUUCUUAGCAGCUUAGAUCUUAGGCUGUGUUGUCAUCUUCUUUUGUUCUUUCUUUCUGCUGGUCUCCUUCUUGGACCCCAGUUUAUACAGUGAAACUUGAAUCCUGCUUCGCUAGACUUUAACCAAUCAUUGUACUGAAAUCUAUCUAACCAAUCCUAACACAUUGUAACAAAAUUCUCUAACCAUUCAUACCCCACCACCUUAAUU